CUACGGGUCGCUGCAGUGAGGAAUAUUGCACAAUGGGGGGAACCCUGAUGCAGCAACGCCGCGUGGAGGAUGACGCAUUUCGCUGUGUAAACUCCUUUUAUAUGUCAAGAAAAUGACGGUAGCAUAUGAAUAAGCACCGGCUAACUCCGUGCCAGCAGCCGCGGUAAUACGGAGGGUGCAAGCGUUACUCGGAAUCACUGGGCGUAAAGGACGCGUAGGCGGGUUGGAAAGUCAGGUGUGAAAUCCUACAGCUUAACUGUAGAACUGCACUUGAAACUUCUAAUCUAGAGUAUGGGAGGGGGAGAUGGAAUUAGUGGUGUAGGGGUAAAAUCCGUAGAUAUCACUAGGAAUACCUAAAGCGAAGGCGAUCUCCUGGAACAUUACUGACGCUAAGGCGUGAAAGCGUGGGGAGCAAACAGGAUUAGAUACCCGGUAGUC
rnacentral:rRNA from 1 species